rnacentral:rRNA from 1 species
GAUGAACGCUGGCGGCGUGCCUAAUACAUGCAAGUCGAGCGAACGGACGAGAAGCUUGCUUCUCUGAUGUUAGCGGCGGACGGGUGAGCAACACGUGGAUAACCUACCUAUAAGACUGGGAUAACUUCGGGAAACCGGAGCUAAUACCGGAUAAUAUUUUGAACCGCAUGAUUCAAAAGUGAAAGACGGUCUUGCUGUCACUUAUAGAUGGAUCCGCGCUGCAUUAGCUAGUUGGUAAGGUAACGGCUUACCAAGGCAACGAUGCAUAGCCGACCUGAGAGGGUGAUCGGCCACACUGGAACUGAGACACGGUCCAGACUCCUACGGGAGGCAGCAGUAGGGAAUCUUCCGCAAUGGGCGAAAGCCUGACGGAGCAACGCCGCGUGAGUGAUGAAGGUCUUCGGAUCGUAAAACUCUGUUAUUAGGGAAGAACAUAUGUGUAAGUAACUGUGCACAUCUUGACGGUACCUAAUCAGAAAGCCACGGCUAACUACGUG